GCUAUGAUCAGCAUCGGGCCAGUCAGACGUAUCAAGAUGAUCUCACAGGCUCAGCUCAUCUGGCUGUUAGUGCUCUGGAUCCAGGACUCCCAGGGGCAGAUUGUGCUGACUCAGACUCCAGAAUCCCUGGCAGUGUCUCCAGGAGACAGAGUCACCAUCAACUGCAAAGCCAGUUCCAGUGUUAGUAGCUACAUGGCCUGGUACCAACAGAAAUCAGGGCAAGCUCCUAAGCUUCUCAUUUAUUUGGCUUCCACCCUGCAAACUGGAGUUCCAGACCGGUUCAGCGGCAGUGGGUCUGGGACUGAUUUCACUCUCACGAUCAGCAGUGUUGAAGCUGAAGAUGCUGGAGACUAUUACUGCCAACAAAGCUAUGAAACCCCGUGGACGUUCGGUAAAGGAACCAAGGUAGAAAUAAAACGUAGAGAAAAUGCCAAGCCUUCGGUGUUCAUCUUUCACCCAUCAGCCGACCAGCUGUCUGGGGGAUCAGCCACCUUGGUGUGCCUGGUGAAUGGCUUCUACCCAAGUGCCUUGACUGUGGUCUGGAAAGUGGAUAACGUCGACACCAAGCCUGGUGUCCUCACCAGCACGAAGCAGCAAGAUACUUCUGACAGCACGUACAGCCUGAGCAGCACCCUGACGCUUACGAAAGAUCAGUACAACUCACACAACGACUAUAGCUGCGUGGUGACGCAUGAAACCGUGACGAGCCCUAUUGUCAAGAGUUUCAAGAGAUCGGAUUGUUCGCAGUAGGAGGCUCCCAGGGAAAGAUCCCUGCCUCCUCUUUGCAGCCUUUCUUAUGCUUUGUUUAUGUAACUAUCAGUCUUAUUCAUUUUUUUUUCCUCCCAAAAUAUGAUGACAGAGAUCUUCCAGGUCUCACCUCCUGCCUUACCCCUUGCUAACAGUCCUGGAUAACCAGGCCCUGCCUGAUUUUACCCUGCUGCCCAAUGAGGUUUCCUGCUUUUAUCAUGUUUCAACUUCAAAAAUGAAUAAAUAAAUGAAAUGAAUGAAACCGCA